UUGAACGCUGGCGGUAUGCUUAACACAUGCAAGUCGAACGGAAACGAUACUAGCUUGCUAGUAGGCGUCGAGUGGCGGACGGGUGGGUAACGCGUAGGAAUCUGCCUGAUAGUGGGGGAUAGCCCGAAGAAAUUCGGAUUAAUACCGCAUAAUCUAUUCGUAGUAAAGUGGGGGACUUUCGAGCCUCACGCUAUCAGAUGAGCCUGCGUAAGAUUAGCUUGUUGGUAGGGUAAAAGCCUACCAAGGCGACGAUCUUUAGCUGGUCUGAGAGGAUGAUCAGCCACAUCGGGACUGAGACACGGCCCGAACUCCUACGGGAGGCAGCAGUGGGGAAUAUUGGACAAUGGGGGCAACCCUGAUCCAGCAAUACCGCGUGUGUGAAGAAGGCCUGAGGGUUGUAAAGCACUUUCAAUUGUGAAGAAAAGUUAGCGGUUAAUAACCGUUAGCCUUGACGUUAACUUUAGAAGAAGCACCGGCUAACUCCGUGCCAGCAGCCGCGGUAAUACGGAGGGUGCAAGCGUUAAUCGGAAUUACUGGGCGUAAAGCGUGCGUAGGCGGUUUAUUAAGUCAGAUGUGAAAGCCCCGGGCUUAACCUGGGAACUGCAUUUGAAACUGGUCAACUAGAGUAUGGUAGAGGAAAGUGGAAUUUCUGGUGUAGCGGUGAAAUGCGUAGAUAUCAGAAGGAACAUCAAUGGCGAAGGCAGCUUUCUGGACCAAUACUGACGCUGAGGUACGAAAGCGUGGGUAGCAAACAGGAUUAGAUACCCUGGUAGUCCACGCCGUAAACGAUGAUAACUAGCCGUUGGGGGGAUUUACCCUUUAGUGGCGAAGCUAACGCGUUAAGUUGUCCGCCUGGGGAGUACGGCCGCAAGGUUAAAACUCAAAGGAAUUGACGGGGACCCGCACAAGCGGUGGAGCAUGUGGUUUAAUUCGAUGCAACGCGAAGAACCUUACCUGGUCUUGACAUACACGGAACUUUCCAGAGAUGGAUUGGUGCCUUCGGGAACCGUGAUACAGGUGCUGCAUGGCUGUCGUCAGCUCGUGUCGUGAGAUGUUGGGUUAAGUCCCGUAACGAGCGCAACCCUUAUCCUUAUUUGCCAGCACAUCAUGGUGGGAACUAUAAGGAGACUGCCGGUGAUAAACCGGAGGAAGGCGGGGACGACGUCAAGUCAUCAUGGCCCUUACGACCAGGGCUACACACGUGCUACAAUGGGAAGGACAAAGGGUUGCUAAGCCGCGAGGUGGUGCUAAUCUCAUAAACCUUUUCGUAGUCCGGAUCGGAGUCUGCAACUCGACUCCGUGAAGUCGGAAUCGCUAGUAAUCGUGGAUCAGAACGCCACGGUGAAUACGUUCCCGGGUCUUGUACACACCGCCCGUCA
rnacentral:rRNA from 1 species